AUAUUGCACAAUGGAGGAAACUCUGAUGCAGCGACGCCGCGUGAACGAUGAAGGCCUUCGGGUCGUAAAGUUCUGUCCUUGGGGACGAUAAUGACGGUAGCCAAGGAGGAAGCCCCGGCUAACUACGUGCCAGCAGCCGCGGUAAUACGUAGGGGGCAAGCGUUGUCCGGAAUGACUGGGCGUAAAGGGCGUGUAGGCGGCCGAUUAAGUCUGGAGUGAAAGUCCUGCUUUCAAGGUGGGAAUUGCUUCGGAUACUGGUUGGCUUGAGUGCGGAAGAGGUAAGUGGAAUUCCCAGUGUAGCGGUGAAAUGCGUAGAGAUUGGGAGGAACACCAGUGGCGAAGGCGACUUACUGGGCCGUAACUGACGCUGAGGCGCGAAAGCGUGGGGAGCGAAC
rnacentral:rRNA from 1 species